ACGGGUGAGUAACACGUGGACAAUCUGCCCCCCGGCCGGAUAGCCCAGGGGAAACCUGGAUUAAUACCGGAUGAGACGGGACCCGCGAUGGCGGGACCCGGGAAAGGCGCUGCGGCGCCGCCGGGGGGAUGAGUCUGCGUCCCAUUAGCUAGACGGCGGGGUAACGGCCCACCGUGGCGACGAUGGGUAGCCGGGCCUGAGAGGGUGACGGCCACAUUGGAACUGAGACACGGUCCAGACUCCUACGGGAGGCAGCAGCUAAGAAUCUUCCGCAAUGGGCGAAAGCCUGACGGAGCGAACCGCCGCGUGAACGAAGAAGGCCGUGAGGUUGUAAAGUUCUUUUCGGGAGGGGGAACAACCGUGGCAGGGAAUGGCCGCGGGAUGACGUGAAUCCCGGAAUAAGCCCCGGCUAACUACGUGCCAGCCGCCGC
rnacentral:rRNA from 1 species